UGAAAUCAAAUCUAAACAACACUAACCUUUGUAGUGAUUGUUAUAUCUAAUAAAUACACAUUUAAUUGAUUUAAAUGAUAAUUUGUUGGUGUUGUAAGGAACUAUAUGAGAGAAACAGACAUCCAAAACUUUUAAGAAAUCAAUAAUCAGGUGGACAUUGAAAAAGCUUCUCAUACGGUGAUAUGCGUCCAAGUGUAGAGGAGGGCAAGAAAAACUGCCAUAGAGAAAGCUUCUAACCAAAGAAGGAAGCUGGGCAAGAAGAUCACAGGAAUUUGUUCUUGAGUGUUGCAUUGUAUCCCUCCAUGAUAGACUGGAAAAAUAAGUUCAUUUCCUUCAUUAGUCUGAGUGUUCUCCUCAGGCCCAGAAAAACAAACCUUAAAAAAAAAAAAAAAUUAACCAAUCUAAAAAUUUGUCACAAAAAGAAACAUGAAUUGGUAACUGUUAAUUAAAAAGUUCUUCUUAACCUUUGGUCUUCACUCAAUUUGCAAAUAACACAAUAAUCCCUGCCUUUCAAACCCACAAGGGGCCUAAGCCUCUCAGUCAGAUUUUGCAUAAUGAUGACAUAUCUAUAGAGAAUUUAUUCAAUAAUGGAUAUUUCUUUAAAGAAUAAUCUAUCGAAUCUCAUAACAUGGAGAGAUAAUUAUUUUCCAAAAGCCACAAGAGACCUCAAUUUCUGAAAUUCUUGUUACAGUAAUUCCUCAAAAGCUCCUUCACCCAGCCAAUCAUGGCCAAAAGCUCCUCAAUAGCCAGUCAUCGCCAAAACCAAAAGUUCCAGCCAUCUGUAUAAAUAGAAACCAAAGGGCAUAAAAGUAAGACAAUUUGUAACAGAUAUAAGUGAAAACAAUAACCUAUUACAGCUAGCCAACAUGCUAAUCUAAUGCACAACAAGAAGAAAGACAGAUUCAGAUCAAACACUUUCCUCAAAUUACACCAAUCAGUAGUGACACCAAAAAAAAAAAAAAAAAAAAAAAAAAAAAAAAAAAAAACCAAGGUUAUAAUGCAACUGCAAGCCCAUUCCCAGAUCUUUAAUAUUGACUGACAUGAAAUCCACAGUAAUUAAGUGUCAAAAUGGUAGUCAUUAACGAUAUGGCAUGAAAAUUAGAAAACACUAUCAAGUAAAUGAGCCAAGUUUCGACCCCGCAUUCAUAAUAUUGUAGCAAAUUCACAAUCAGACCAUUCAAACCAACAGGAAGAGAAACUAAAAAGAAAAUCAUUCCAAUUAUGGUAGCAAUGUUAGUUCUAUUUCACAUGUAAUCUAUAAGCACUAACCUUGAGAAGCCAUUAGAGCAAGCACAGCAACAGCAGCAAAUACCACACGAACUGGCCUUGGUCUUCCUCUCUCUAUGCACUCUAAAUCUCUCCUAUAUGGGUAGGAAUAUGAGUCUGUUUUCUGUGUAUGAGAGUGGGGACCGAAGCCUUAGUUUUAUAGGUGAGAGCCUUGAGGUUCCUAGCCCAUAAAGGAAUCCUUAAAGCUUAUCCUUAUCACCUCCCGAAUACAUAGCCUAAUAUGAUAGAUAUUCCACAAGUGAGACAGAGCUUCAACUCUAUCAUACUUAUCCGUGUAUACCCAGUUUAUCUCUCCCUUGUAUCCCUGAUCAGAUUGGAUUCCUAAAUGGAUGUGAACUCAAAUAGAGUUCUUACAAGCAAAACUCACAAGACAGAAAAUAAUCCCCAAGUUGCUGAUCCUCUAGGCAAUCAUGUAGCUAACCAAUUCAAAUUGCAAUGCCAAACCCACAUCUAAUACUAGCAAAGCUACUUCUGCUUUGCAUUUCGUAACAAAAAUAAAAAUAACCAAAUCAACUUAAAUGUCUAAGCAUGCGUGCAUAACACAAUUAUUGGAUUAGUACAAGGUGAAUUUAGCAAAAUUAAAAAAACUCAAAUAAAUCAGGCAAAAAGAUUUGAGCUUUUCUCGUUCUUUUUCUCUUUUCAGAAAAUUUUCUCAAUAACCAAAUAAGGGAACUAGAUGAAAAAAAAAAAAAAAAAAGGGAUGCCAAAGGCCGUACCCCACUCAUCUUCUUCAUCAAGAGGUUGAGAGAUUGCACUGGAGAGGGGUCCAUGGGACGCAAAUGAUCAUGGAUUUGACCAGCCAUAGGACGUAAAAGCCCAGAUCAAGAUCAAUCUAAUAGCUCAAAUCCAAACACAGCAAGUGAAGGGCUAGGGGGCGAGAGGGCGAGAAAGAGAGAGGAAGAGGAGAAAGAGAUCUGUUACCUUGAACGAGUAGGUCAGAGAGAGCAACACAAAGAGGGAGACAGCGCUGAUGGAGGAAGAGAGAACUGCCAGAAAGCGUUGAGAGAGAGAGAGAGAGAGAGAGAGAGAGAGAGAGAGAGAGGGAGAGCGCAGAGGAAGCUGCGAGAGAGACAAGAAAAAGUGAGAAAAAGUGUUGGGGCAAUAAGUAUGUAUUUAUAGGUUGUAUUUAUAAAAUGUGC
rnacentral:lncRNA from 1 species